GACUCGAUGGCGAAGUGUGGUGACGUAUCCACAAACUGUUCGACUUCUUCGUGCAAGUCGCCGGUUCGAUUCCGGCUCGAGUCA